rnacentral:rRNA from 1 species
AUUGAACGCUGGCGGCAUGCCUAACACAUGCAAGUCGAACGGUAACGCGGGGGCAACCCUGGCGACGAGUGGCGGACGGGUGAGUAAUACAUCGGAACGUGCCCAGUAGUGGGGGAUAGCCCGGCGAAAGCCGGAUUAAUACCGCAUACGACCUACGGGUGAAAGCGGGGGAUCGCAAGACCUCGCGCUAUUGGAGCGGCCGAUGUCAGAUUAGCUAGUUGGUGGGGUAAAAGCCUACCAAGGCGACGAUCUGUAGCUGGUCUGAGAGGACGACCAGCCACACUGGGACUGAGACACGGCCCAGACUCCUACGGGAGGCAGCAGUGGGAAUUUUGGACAAUGGGGGGCAACCCUGAUCAGCCAUGCCGCGUGCGGGAAGAAGGCCUUCGGGUUGUAA